GGCUGUGAGGGCUAUCUCAUUGUGGCAUCUGUCACCCCAUUGAAAUCCAGGGUUGAUUCCACAGCUCUGGCUGCCUAGGUGAGAGCUCCUUUUGUCCUUCAAUGCCCCAAGUUCGUCCUUCCCAAAGCUGCACACUUUUCACUAGCUGCACCAGAGUCUUCAAGAUCUGAAACUCUGUCUUCACUUUCACUCAGACAGUUUUGCAGGCUUGUGAUUUUUAAGUUCCUCUAUAUC
rnacentral:sRNA from 1 species